rnacentral:rRNA from 1 species
GAUGAACGCUGGCGGCGUGCCUAAUACAUGCCAGUCGAGCGAACGGACGAGAAGCUUGCUUCUCUGAUGUUAGCGGCGGACGGGUGAGUAACACGUGGAUAACCUACCUAUAAGACUGGGAUAACUUCGGGAAACCGUAGCUAAUACCGGAUAAUAUUUUGAACCGCAUGGUUCAAAAGUGAAAGACGGUCUUGCUGUCACUUAUAGAUGGAUCCGCGCUGCAUUAGCUAGUUGGUAAGGUAACGGCUUACCAAGGCAACGAUGCAUAGCCGACCUGAGAGGGUGGUCGGCCACACUGGAUCUGAGACACGGUCCAGACUCCUGCGGGAGGCAGCGGUAGGGAAUCUUCCGCGAUGGGGGAAAGCCUGACGGAGCAACGCCGCGUGAGUGAUGAAGGUCUUCGGAUCGUAAAACUCUGUUAUUAGGGAAGAACAUAUGCGUAAGUAACUGUGCACAUCUUGACGGUACCUAAUCAGAAAGCCACGGCUAACUACGUG